rnacentral:rRNA from 1 species
CAGUAGCCGCGGUAAAACAGAGGGUGCAAGCGUUAAUCGGAAUUACUGGGCGUAAAGCGCGCGUAGGUGGUUUGUUAAGUUGGAUGUGAAAGCCCCGGGCUCAACCUGGGAACUGCAUUUGUGACUGUAUAGCUAGAGUACGGCAGAGGGGGAUGGAAUUCCGCGUGUAGCAGUGAAAUGCGUAGAUAUGCGGAGGAACACCGAUGGCGAAGGCAAUCCCCUGGGCCUGUACUGACGCUUAUGCACGAAAGCGUGGGGAGCAAACAGGAUUAGAUACCCCCGUAGUCCCUGUCUCUUAUAU